AUCUUUGCGCAGUGGCAGUAUUGUAGCCAAUGAGGUUAAUCCAAUGCACAAUUAUUGCUAAUUGAAAACUUUUCCUAAUACCCCACCAUGACAACAUGAAAUAUAGUUGGCAUUGGUACAAAAAAAAGACAGUAAAGUCUG